AUGGUCGCCCUGAGUAACGUUAGCUCCACCCAGGUGCUUCCUGAUCAGUCCUACAUGAGGUUCACCUGGUCUGGGAAUGAAGAGCUUAACAGCUCCGGUGCAGCAUCAGAAGGGAGAGGCUUCAGGCAUGGGGACUUGGGUCGAGUGACCCCCACCCUGACGGUGCUGCCCCCCUCCAGUGAGGAGCUGCAGCAGGAGAAGGUCACAGUCCUGUGCCUGGCCAACAAGGGCUUCCCCUCAGACUGGAGUCUGGCCUGGAAGGUGGAGGGCAGCAGCAGCAGCAGCAGCUGGGAGGAGAGCAGGAGCCCCGGGGUGCUGGAGAAGGACGGCCUCUACAGCUGGAGCAGCACCCUGAGGCUCCCUGCAGACCAGUGGAGCAAGCUGGGCUCUGUGACCUGUGAGGCUACCCAGGGCUCCCAGACUCCGCUCUCAGAGACACUGAGGAGAGACCAGUGUUCCCAGUCCUGACCUGACUCACUGGGACUCUGCUACUGGUUUUACUC